rnacentral:rRNA from 1 species
CAAUAGCGUAUAUUUAAGUUGUUGCAGUUAAAAAGCUCGUAGUUGGAUUUCGGGUUGGCUUCAGCGGUCUCGCUUUGCGUUUGUACUGCCGCAGCCUUCCUUCUUGCUGGGGACGGCCCUCCGGGCUUCAUUGCUUGGGGUCUGGAAUCAGCGACGUUACUUUGAGUAAAUUAGAGUGUUCAAAGCAAGCCUACGCUCUGAAUAUAAUAGCAUGGGAUAACACGACAGGACUCUGGCCUAUCGUGUUGGUCUGUAGGACCAGAGUAAUGAUUAAGAGGGACAGUCGGGGGCAUUCGUAUUCCGUUGUCAGAGGUGAAAUUCUUGGAUUUACGGAAGACGAACAUCUGCGAAAGCAUUUGCCAAGGAUGUUUUCAUUGA